CAGCUUGAAAAGUUGAACUCUCGAGGCUUUAAAAUCAUUUUAGUUACCUCAGAAGCUAUUGGAGCCGGCUGCCAAAGGCUUAAAUACAGGAAAAUGAUCAACAGCAGAAAUGGAAACCGCCAGCGAGGUCGCAGUGAGCAAGUGGCUCGGCUCAGACUAUCCGGUUCCAUGGAAGUGUCAAACUGAACAGUUGACAAAACCAAGUCAAGUCUGGUCAACCGGGUUCCGUACACUCACUGAGUGGUGCUGAAUUAAGAGCAAAAGGCAACCGUGGGUUAAGGAGGAAAUGUUGAUGGCGUCAUGGCCACACUAAAAAAUAUAACAAUAAUAAAGAAUUAAAAGCCGGAAAGUUCAAUGUGGGUAAGCAUAACCUCAUGACGAAACGAGACGAAACACAUUUGGCGUUAAAGAUUGGUUGAUGCUGACGGGCGGAAGUUAGCGGAAGACGGUUGUGACUUGGCUGCAUUAGAGUUUUGUUUUCACAGUGGAAACAGGUUCAACAGACGCAAAAACUUGAUUUUUGUGCUGAUUUAUGUCACUUGAUUAUGAGAUUGGUUAAAAAAUUAACUUAUGGAUUGAUCAUUACCAGGAUGGAGCUGCACUUCAGUUUAAAUAAA